rnacentral:lncRNA from 1 species
UAAAGAAGGACAAAAUUAGGCAAUAACAUCCAAACUGCCUGACAACUUAUUCUUAGCCUGGCUCCUGGUGAUGGACGAAGGGAAGGAAAUGCAUGCCCAGAAAUAGAAGAACAGUGCUUUCGGUAGGAAUUUUCGCCAAGCAUCGCUCAAAGAGAAAGAAACGGGCUUAACCCUCUUUUGGAUUUCGCUGCAUCUCCUUCUAAUAAAAUUAGACUCCGUUUGAGGGUUUCUCCGGCAGCCUGCUGGAGCCCACAGUGGACAAGGCCCUUUUGAGAUAAGUCGGCGCAGAGGGACGGUGCUGAACCCACUUCAUCCACGCUGUGGGGUCCCCGCAGGGUCCUCAGUCCCACCCCCACCCGGGGCUGGGGCUCCGCCUUCAUUAGGUUCACCUGCUUCUGCGGCGCAGGACCCACGGGGAAGGUGAGACCGACGCCCCCCCCCCCCGGAGGCCGCGUUUGCACAUCUUUUCUACAGGAUGACGUGCCCACGUUGAACAGUUCAAAAUCCUGCUAAAAAAUCUGGAUUUUCGGAAACCUCUGUCUUUAAUUGUCUUUAAAUGAAAGAAGAAACAGGAAGGGACUGUUUGUCCACAACUCAGUUGAGCCUCAGUUUCCCGGGCUGUAAAAUGGGGACAAUACUACCUACUCAGGGGGUGGAGGGAUGCUGGGUUGUUUGGAUGCUUCAAUGUGUUUAAAACCAGUGGGACAGAGUCAGGCUCAGGGUGCCCCUGGGCUGUGGCUGUGGUUGUGGUUUCUUCUAACAGACCCUGGGACAGUGAGACCUGGAUCUGCCCUCAAGGGGCCAAGCUACCACCUGUACAGAGACAUACAACAUGAUGAGUCCCUAGUGUGUCCAUUCAUCCAGGGGACAGAAGCACAGAGGUGAGGACCCCCAGGGCAGGUGCAGAAUGGCAGGAAGGAGGUGGCUACUGACAGGAGGGAUGCCUGAGCCAAGUCCAGGGGACAAAGGAGGUUUCUCCAGGUGCAGGGAGUGGGGGAGGGAUGUGGGGGCCAGAGGACAGUACAGGCACAGGAAAAAGAUGUACAAAGCCUCCACGUGUUUGGGGACCCACGGGGCGCCCAGUGCUCUUGGGAUCUGGGGAGAUGGAAAUUUCCCUGAGGAAUCAACUCCCCUCAUGCUCUCGUGCCUAGACCAUGUGCUUCAGCCUAAACUGAUGCCACCUUCAGCCCCACAAGUGGACAUGUGUCCCCAGGCCAGACCAGGGCACACAUGCUAUUCUAUGGCCACAGAAACACAGGAGUAAGAACGGACACUACAUCCAACUCCAUUGAAACCUGGGAUCUUGUUGGAAGUGUUCAAGAAAAGAAGCUUCAUUUUUCUGGACUUGAAUAGGAAAUAACAUAAAUCUCCAGGUAUUGGAGGCCUAUGUAUAGAGAGAGUCCAUCUGAGAAUAAAUACAAGUUAUUGGAACUAAAGGAUGGAGAGAAAGCAAAUUCUAAUGAGCUUCUGAGCCAAAUGGGUUUGUCACCACUCUGGCCUCUUUUAGUUACUUGAGCCAAUAUGCUUCCUUUACUGGCUCAAGCAAGUGAGAUUUGAACUUCUGCUACUUAUGAACAAAGAAAAUGCCCAAAAUAUAACUAGGGAGGGAAUUCAAGUUACACCUGCCAGACCCCAUGGGCUGACACAACGGUCCAACCCACCCGUCUGGAUAGUAACUUCUUUUUGUUUCUUUUUAGGGCCACACCUGCAGCAUAGGGAAGUUUCCAGGCUAGGGGUCGAAUCAGAGCUGCAGCUACUGGCAUACACCACAGCUACAGCAACACCAGAUCCGAGCUGCAUCUCUUAACCCACCAAGCGAGGCCAGGUAUUGAACCUGCAUCCUCACAGACAGUAUGUUGGGUUCUUAACCUGCUGAAUCACAACAGGAACUCCUAGGUAAUGAUAUUUUCAGCUCAGUGAGUGCAGUUCAUGUCUCUCUAGAGCAGCAAUGCUAAGAGGUAUGUAUAUUCCCUAUAAUAUUAUAACUCUCAAGAUUCAACCUUGAGGAAGACUUAGUCACCCGGCCUUCUGGCAGCUGCUCAGAAUUAACCCAGGAAAUUCAACUGAUCUCUCAAAGCUCAUAUUUUCUCCAGAGGUACAUGGGAUUCUGUUUAGGAAACAUGCAAUUCCUAUAAGCUGCAGGGAAAUUUUGAUUUCCCACUGACAGCACAUCCAUCAGAAGAUUCUGCCUUCAGGGUAGGCAGGCAAGUUUGAAAAUGCUUCCUGGCAUUGGGGGCAGUGGGCUAUGCAAAACAGGAGAGGUUUAGCAUGUGAUGGCCCUUUUAUUAGUCCUUUAAUGUUAUUUAUUUAUUUAUUUAUCAGUCCUUUCAUUAGUCUUUCAGUUUAUUUUAUUGUAUUAGUCUUUUAUUGACCUUUUAAGUUAUUUUAUUUAUUUUAUUAGUCCUUUAACUUUAUUUUUUACUUUAUUUAUUAGGCCUUUUAUUAGUCUUUUUAGUUAUUUAUUUUAUUUUAUUUUGCUAGUCCUUUUAUAAGUUUUAUUUAUUUUAUUUAUUUUAUUUUAUUAGUCUUUUAUUGGUCUUUUAAUUUCUUUUAUUUAUUUUAUUAGUCCUUUAUUUUAUUUUUUAAUUUUAUUUAUUAGUCCUUUUAUUAGUCUUUUAGUUUAUUUUAUUUUUUAUUUAUUUUAUUUAUUUUAUUAGUCCUUUAAUUUUGUUUAUUUUAUUUGAUUUACCAUCCUUUUAUUAGUCUUUUAAUUUUGUUAAUUUAAUUUAAUUUAUUUUAUUUGGCUAGUUCUUUUAUUAGUCUUGUAUUUUAUUUUAUUUUAUUAGUCUUUUAUUGGUCUUUUAAUUUCUUUUAUUUAUUUUAUUAGUCCUUUAAUUUUAUUUGAUUUGAUUUACCCAUCCUUUUAUUAGUCUUUUAAUUUUAUUAAUUUUAUUUUAUUUUGUUAGCCCUUUUAUGUAUCCUUUUCUUAGUCCUUUAAUUUGUUUAUUUUUAUUUAUUUACUUUUAUUUAUUUUAUUAAUCCUUUUGCAUCUCAUUGCUGCUAGUCCAGCUAAUACUAGAGCCAAGGAACUGAAUUAUUGCAGGAAUAAGAUGGAAGGUGCCAUCCUUGAGGCCCACCUGGUUGUAUUUUUAUUUCUCUCCAGGGGCGAAGUGUUCAUUCCCUAGAGCCUUCUGGGGUCCUGGCAACCACAGUGCAUUGACAGACAAUACCAUUUUUAAUCACAUAAAAACAAGAGUCCAACAGCAUGAGCUAAGGAGAACGACACUCAAAAAUUAUAACAUACAAUGAAAUAGAUAACCAACAAGGACCUACUGUAGAGCACAGGAGACUCUACUCCAUCUCUUACAAUAGUCUGUUGAGGAAAAGAAUCUGAAAAAGAACAGAUAUGUGUAUGUGUAACUGAAUCACUCUGCUGUAUACCUGAAACCAAUACAAGACUGUAAACAAACUAGACGCCAAUAAAAUAAAUUUAAAAAAUAAAAUG